UCUUGUACCAGAUUGCCAAAACCCCAUUUGUGAAGAAAUACCUCCAAUUCUUAGUUUUGAAUGCACUUCCAUGAAGUUUCCACUUGUAUGCGUAGUUUGUGUUUCAAAUGUUGAGAAGGUGAUGAUUUAAAGGAGACCAGUUAAACCAGUUUUGUUGUGAUAGAUAAUUAGUACUGUAUAUAUGCAUAAAACCUGGGGAGUGACUUUUAAUCAUUAGUUUUGUUGGUUAGAGCUCAAAUUCAAAUUGUUUUUAUAUCAUGUUACCUGUGGCAAACCAUAAUUCUCUUUCAUGUAGGUUUCAUGUGGGACAAUAAAAUGUGCACAAAGUUUGCUGUAAUUUCAUAUUUAUAGCAAUCAAAGCUCCAAAACAUUUCCAAUGUAAAUCAACUUUCAUGCUUUGAAAGGUUUUACAUUGUUUUUUUUUCAAUUGCAUCAGAUGUUCCAGUGCAAGUAUAACAGGCACAGAGGAGGAUAAAAAAAGAAAUAGCACAGACGUCUAAAAGAAGCAGAAGACUACAGGAAGUGACAGUACUUUAUAACCGCGCUGUUUCUCUUUCCUUUCAGUUCAUCUCUCUUCAGUUCAGAUCCCCUGACUGCCUGUCACCUGAAGUUUGCCUGCUGUUGAUACUGAUAAAGUCUCUAGACUUUGAACAAUAAAUGCAUCAUUCUCUUGGUGGAGCAUCUGGUGUAUGAAUGAGGACUGAGAUAUGGGAAACUGCUGCUGUGCGAGGAACAGGAAAACAAAAGAAGAUGCCACAGGAGAAAAUGACAGCAGUACUGCAAAUGCAAACAAUAAAGAGGACGUUUUGUAUGCUACAAUCGACCAUGGAGAGGGGGUCAGAACGUUUGUGCAGCCCUGCGAUGACCACUGUGAAUACACCACUGUCAUCAUGCCACCUGCAGCACUGAAAGUGUCUAGUAAAGAGAAAGAGGACUGUAGUGAUGAUUAUGUUCUAAUGAAUUAGUUUUAAAUUCUGAGGGAUCCUUAUGAAGUCUUUGUCCCUGCUUUAUUAAAUGUAUACAUACCCCUUUAAUGUUCAGACACCACACAGUUUGGCAGAUAAACUCAAUGCAUUCCCAAUCUAAUCAAUGUCCAACACUAUCAACAGAUAUGUUUAUGAUCCAGGAAUCAGUCCAAGGUCAUGGGGAGAAAAAGGAUAUUUCCUCCAUUCUAAUGUCAAUGGGCGGCCUUGUGGCCACAUAGAUUGGCAAUACCUAUCUUUAGAGAUGCUCAGUGCGAAUUUUGGUCGAAGAGAUUUUACAGGUGCUUGGUAUAAUUUAGACUAACACUCUUUUGGUGUGACAUGACUUCCUGCCCACAUGACCAGUUGAUUGUUCCAUUGAAAGAGUUUGCCACCACAGUCGGCAUUCAACCAUGUUGCUCCCCUGAGUUUGCAUCAGCUGAGCCCCCAUGGCCAGUGGUGCACAAAGAAGAAAGACCACAAAAGAGACAGAAGAAAGCAGCUGGAGAGGGUAGAAGGGAGAAGAGCCAAUACUGCAUCCAGUUUCAACAGUGACAGAGUCGGGGACUUGGGCACUGAAGAAUAACAACUUAAAUAGAGGCAAAGGAGCUCUGUGUUUAAUUGUGAAACUGUUUAAGUUUGUGUUUUGAAACAUGCCUGUCUGCGACUGUUACUCGUGUUUUACUUUUUGUUGUUUAUAUGCUGAAUUAUUGGUAUCAAAGGCUGCCUCCUUUCAGCCUCCGUUAAGAGUACAAUUUGUGCAGUGGAUAAUAACUGAUUUUCUAAAAACAGCCUUACUUUCGUCAAGACAGAGACUUAACUCUAGUUCUGAAGAUACUACAGUAGAUCAAUGUUAGAGCUCUAGUAAGGAAAGCUACAGUACAUGUAAUUGGGCAGCAGAACUUACUCCUGUUGUAAAUAUUAGUUUUAUGUUGGUUGUAGUUUUGUGUAAUAAAUAUUUGCCCAUUAAUCUCUUGUCUUAUUAAUUUUUUACAAGCAUUAGCAGAAAUUUCCAAACAUGGGGGAGUUUUAUUAUUUAACUUUCAUAACUUCUAACCUUUAAUUACUAGUAAUGCUUCCCUUUGUGUUACAAUCAACUGAGAAUUUUGCUACAAUAGUUUUCGAAAUUGUCCAUACAGUCCAUACAUACAGGAUCCUCGGCCUCGUGCUUAGGACAAAGUCCAAGUCCCAGUGCAGACAACACUGCUUGUCACGUGAUUGUCUCUGAGGGUGCAUGAAAAUGGCCAAAAAAAGGAGAGCCCCGACCUGAGCUUGUGCUACUUUUUUGACCAAGUCACAGAUGUGUGAUGAUUGGUUGAGAGUUUGGUGGGCAUUGGAGACCCACGUGGUGUUACCACGCCCUGCCAGUCCCUGAGUGGUUGAUCAAGGUGAGAGAUGAGUCACUUACUCCUGACACUUAGGAAUGCAGUCCAGAUGUCCUUCUGGCACUCCCUAGACAGAUAGGCGCCAGGGAUGACCAUUGAUUAGGCUUAGCUAAGUCCCCAUUUGGGAGUUGUUCUUUAACAAAAGAAAACACCUUAAAUCAGCCUGCAUGAAUAGAUUCUCUGUGGCUACACCACAGAGAUGAAGAGAGAGAUGGGGCCUCAUUUAAGACAGCACAGCAACACUUAAUUCUGUCUUAUUAACAAGCAUUGCCGCUACACUCCUAUCCUGGAGUCCUUGCACUGGCUUCUGUUAAAUUCCGUGUAGACUUUAAAAUCCUCAUGCUCACCUAUAAGGCUCUGCAUGGCUUGGCACCUCAGUAUCUGUCUGAACUAUUAUCCUACUCCCCACCUCGCAACCUUCGCUCUUCUAAUUCUGCUCUCCUUACUCUCCCCCAAGCCCGUCUAUAUUGUAUGGGUGACAGGGCCUUCUCCUGUUAUGCCCCCAAGCUCUGGAACUCUCUCCCCAAGGAUAUCAGAGAGUCACCUUCUCUAAACUCCUUCAAAUCCAGACUCAAAACCCUCUUCUUUACUUAACUGGUUCCAUUCUUCACCCCUCUGCUUUUCUUAGUACCACCAUCCACGGUCUCCUCUAUAUAUUGUAAUUGUGUUUUAUCUUGUGUAUUCUUCUUAUUUAUUGUUGUUGUCAUCCUGUAAAGCGCUUUGAGAAGCCACCUUUAAAGGCGCUAUAUAAAAUAAAGUUUAUUAUUAUUAUAGUUUAUUAUGAGAGAUAGAAAGUUGUUGGACUGCAGAAAUAGUGUUGGAGCAGCCAACAUUAAUUGGUUGGGUUGUAUUCCGGCAAGUUAUUCCUUAUUUUGAGUGAAUUACAUCACAACUUUCUGAAAGUGUAAUGAAAUCGCUAUAGAGAAGGGAAGUUCAAGAGGAACUGUUUUUCUUUUGUACAGAGAUAAGAUAAAGGUCCUAAAAAUAGAGAACAGUGUUCUGCAAAGAAUUGUUCUCUCAAAAUAAAUUACUUUUGCUUAUAGGGACACAUGAGAGUAGCCUCACUGAUAUAUAACCUCUUUAUAUAACCUCUGUAAGUAGCCAUACAGUACAACCUGAAUGCAACACCUUUUGAAAAUGAUAUAUCCAGUAUAUAUCCAGAUAUCAGAAUCUGGAACAUUUUCUAAUAUAUAAAUGCAACAUUUCAUUGUAUAACUCACAUUGAGUCUUCGUUACUCUUUCACACAGCAUCAGAACUUGAUAGAGAUAGUUUACAAACAGACUAUGUCACCCUUGAUAAUGAAAAUGAACACAGAGGUAAACAUUUCAGUGUCUAGUAAUUCUGUAACCAUUUUUACUUCACAGGGAUAAUAUACAAUUUAAUUUCACACGUCCAUUCUUAACAAAGAAAGACUCAAAACAGCAGGGCAGUGCCUAUACUUUUUCACAGGCUAAAGAAGUUUGGCAUGCCGUCACAUAUCCAUGCCUCAGUGGCUAAGGAUCUGCACCUGUGGCUAGAAGGUUGCCAGUUCAAAUCCCGCAGCCGGCAGGGGAAUCCUACUCUGUUGGGCUCCUGAGCAAGGCCCUUCACCCCAGCUGCUCCAGGGGCGCUGUACAAUGGCUGACCCUGCACUCUAAUCCCAAGCUUCUCUACCUGUCUGUGUGUCUCAUGGAGAGCAAGCUGGGGUAUGACAAAUUCCUAAUGCAAGAAAUUGUAUAGGGCUAAUAAAGUGAGCUUAUCUUAACUUCUUAAGAAAUUGUAUAGGGCUAAUAAAGUGAGCUUAUCUUAACUUCUACAGGUGCACUGUUGAGAGUAUCCUGACUGGCUGCAUACGGCCUGGUAUGGGCGCUGCUCCGCCAGGGAUCGCAAAGUACUGCAGGUGGUGAAAUCAGCGCAGAUUAUCACCGGCUGCGUGCUACCAGACAUCGAGGAUGUCACGCUUUCACAUAAUCAGACACCUAACCUUUCUAAUUCUCACAAAUGCAGGCGCAUUCCUCCGACCACAGUUAAUCAGACACCAGACCGAUCCAAUUCCCGAAAACGACAGCGCACAAAUUUAUCAUCCUAUCACUUCACUGCAUGGUAUUAUAUAGUCAACUGUUUUCCUGAGCCUCAUCUCUCGUUUGAGAUCAAAGCAAAAACCCUUUUUUCUAGCCUGGAUAUCAUUACAACCUGCCUACCCGACCCAGACUUCGUCUUGCUCUUUUGGGUUUGUCUAAACUCUUUUCUGUUUCUUUAGCUAUCGACAGUGCCUGCUUACCCGACUCCGGAAUUCGUCUUGCCCUAUUGAAUUUGUUUGCUCCAGGCAUUGGACACGACCUGCAUAGGGUUCUUUGUACGUUUUGUGAUGGAGGAUAUCUACUCUGUUAGAUGCCACAAGAAAUGCAGGAUUGUACUCAAGGACCCCAGUCACCCAUACCACAAUCAGUUUUCCCUACUACGUCUGGAAAACGACACCGAAGCCUGCAAGCAGCCACCAGUAAUUACCCAAACGUUUUUCUCGCCUGGGUUUUUUCGCUGCCUACGGUUUUUUUUACUGCAUAAUCUUGUAAAUUGUUAAGGUAUAAUUUAUUGCAUUCUUCUUGCAACCUAUCAAGUUCUGUCCUAUCUCUCCUUGGUGAGCUUGCAGAAAAUGCAUUUCACUGCCGACUGUAUUGUCGUGCAUUGACAAAUGAACAAUGAUUCAUACUGUAGAAGCACUUUAAGUCUCAUGACAUUUAUUAAGUACGUGAUUAGAUGUGUGACACCC
rnacentral:lncRNA from 1 species